rnacentral:rRNA from 1 species
UACGGGGGGGGCAAGCGUUGUUCGGAAUUACUGGGCGUAAAGGGCUCGUAGGUUGCCAACUAAGUCAGACGUGAAAUCCCUCGGCUUAACCGGGGAACUGCGUCUGAUACUGGAUGGCUUGAGUUCGGGAGAGGGAUGCGGAAUUCCAGGUGUAGCGGUGAAAUGUGUAGAUAUCAGGAGGAACACCGAUGGCGAAGGCAGCUGCCUGGCCUGACACUGACGCUGAGGUGCGAAAGCGUGGGGAGCGAACGGG